UGGCCCUCUUUUAUAUUUUGACUUUGUAUUUUACAGCCACUUCUGGCCUCAGUUACAUGUAUGUAUUGGAACUCAUAUAUAUAUGUAAGGAAUUUGUAUUAAUUUAUUCUGCUGCAUAUAAAUUUGGUCAUGCACUCGUUAUUCUGUUUCUAUUUCUAACAUCCACAUGUCUUAAUUGACAUUUAGGAUGUCACAGAUGGUAUUAGAGCAGAAUUACGUGGAUCAAAUUCCUUGCAC
rnacentral:lncRNA from 1 species